rnacentral:rRNA from 1 species
ACGUAGGUGGCAAGCGUUGUCCGGAAUUAUUGGGCGUAAAGAGCAUGUAGGCGGUUUUUUAAGUCUGGAGUGAAAAUGCGGGGCUCAACCCCGUAUGGCUCUGGAUACUGGAAGACUUGAGUGCAGGAGAGGAAAGGGGAAUUUCCAGUGUAGCGGUGAAAUGCGUAGAUAUUGGGAGGAACACCAGUGGCGAAGGCGCCUUUCUGGACUGUGUCUGACGCUGAGAUGCGAAAGCCAGGGUAGCGAACGG